CCAUAAUGCUUUCUGCCUGCCUCCUGGAUUCAAUAUGGUAUCAACAAACCAGUCUUUUAGGCUUCAUAAUCUGAUCGCACCUUAUUUAUUAUAUUCGUAUCUCCCAUAACCCUUCAAGAUGAACUUCAAUUUCAACCAGUUAACCUCCAAUAACCUCUGUUAACAUCUUUCUCUUUGUUCUUACUUCCCAAUUAUAUUAUCUAUAAGAAAGGGUGGGAAGGAAAAAAAGGCUGUAUCUGUUCUCUUCCACCUGAUAGUCCACAUUCCAAAGGGUUAAGUGUCUGAAUACAAUUAGAAACAUGACAAGUAUUUAAAGUACAUGAAAUUGAAGCUUCUAGAUAAAGACAGUUGAAUGAACAGCAUAUCUGGAUAUGAUAUCUAGGAAUGAAACAUAUCUAGUUUUCAUCCUUCUCAAUCUCCCCACAUAAAAAUACAGUAAAGGAGUGCAUAAAUCCUAAGGAUAAAGAGAGUGAAAAAGGAUACCAAAAGAACCAAAUUUUGGAGAGUAGAAAGCAGACAAAUAGUAAUGGACUUGGCAAACUUUGAAAGACCACAAAUAAGUUAGUAAACAGACAUUAAGUAUAAGCACGCUCAGUUCAGUUGCUCAGUCAUGUCCGACUCUUUGCAACCCCAUGGACUGCAGCACACCAGGCUUCUCUGUCCUUCACCAACUCCUGGAGCUUGCUCAGACUUAUGUCCAUUGAGUCGGUGAUGCCAUCCAACUAUCUCAUCCUCUGUCGUCCCCUUAUCCUCCCACCUUCAAUCUUUCCCAGCAUCAGGGUCUUUUCUAAUGAGUCAGUUCUUUGCAUCAGGUGGCCGAAGUAUUAGAGCUUCAGCAUCAGUCCUUCUAAUGAAUAUGCAGGACUGAUUUCCUUUAGGAUUGACUGGUUUGAUCUCAUUGCUGUCCAAGGGACUCUCAAGUCUUCUCCCACACCACAGUUCAAAAGCAUCAAUUCUUUGGCGCUCAGCUUUCUUUAUGGUCCAACUCUCAUAUCCAUACAUGAAUACUGGACUCUAGAAUCCUCAAAAAACUCAAGGAUUGAUGGCAUCUCCGGAAGAGGGGUUAAAUGGGGUGUUGAAACAAGGAAGACUGGUUGAAUUAAGGUUGUUUGAGGAUCAGGUAGCUUCCUGGAUUUCUCCUCUUCCCAUACUCCACAUCACUGGUUGAUCAUACCUCCCACACUCUGGCCAAAGUCUAGAGGUUUAGGCUUCAGAGAUGGGAAAACAGAUGGAUUCUGGUUGGAGGAAAACCAGUCAUGGUUGAGGGUGGGUAGUACUUAAAACAAGCAAAAUAAGUGGAUGCAUGUAUAUUGAAUACUAAGACUUUCUGCUUCUUCUGCCACUUUAUCCUUCAGCCAAGAGAAACUGGAGGACUACUC
ensembl:lncRNA